AGAGGAAGUAAAAGUCGUAACAAGGUUUCCGUAGGUGAACCUGCGGAAGGAUCAUUAUUGAAAUUAUAGGCAAAGGUUGUAGCUGGCCUCUCGGGGCAUGUGCACGCCUGAGCCCCUUAAUCCACACACACCUGUGAACCAAUUGUAAGGGCCCCCUGAAAAGGGCCUUUACGUCUUAUUCAUCAACCCAUUGCAUGUCUCAGAAUGUAAACAUAUGUCCUCGCCUUAAAAAGCGUUGAUAAACUUAUACAACUUUCAACAACGGAUCUCUUGGCUCUCGCAUCGAUGAAGAACGCAGCGAAAUGCGAUAAGUAAUGUGAAUUGCAGAUUUUCAGUGAAUCAUCGAAUCUUUGAACGCACCUUGCGCUCCUUGGUAUUCCGAGGAGCAUGCCUGUUUGAGUGUCAUUAAAUUCUCAACUCCGAUCGAUUUGUUUCGACCUCGGAGCUUGGACUUUGGAGUGUGCUGGCGUCGGUCGGCUCCUCUCAAAUGCAUCAGCGGAAUCUAACGUUUCGGACGUCAGUGUGAUAAUCACGUUGCGCUGUCAACCGAUCCUGAAAGGCCCGCUCAUAAUGGUCUUCGGACAACUUCAUAUCAAAUUUGACCUCAAAUCAGGUAGGACUACCCGCUGAACUUAAGCAUAUCAAUAAGCGGAGGAAAAGAAACUAACAAGGAUUCCCCUAGUAACUGCGAGUGAAGCGGGAAAAGCUCAAAUUUAAAAUCUGGCGGUCUUGCGGCCGUCCGAGUUGUAAUCUGGAGAAGCGUCUAUCCGCGCUGGACCGUG
rnacentral:misc_RNA from 1 species